GACGAACGCUGGCGGCGUGCCUAAUACAUGCAAGUCGAGCGGACUUACAAAGCUUGCUUUUUAAGUUAGCGGCGGACGGGUGAGUAACACGUGGGCAACCUGCCUGUAAGACUGGGAUAACUUCGGGAAACCGGAGCUAAUACCGGAUAAUCCUUUUCUACUCAUGUAGAAAAGCUGAAAGACUGUUUACGCUGUCACUUACAGAUGGGCCCGCGGCGCAUUAGCUAGUUGGUGAGGUAACGGCUCACCAAGGCGACGAUGCGUAGCCGACCUGAGAGGGUGAUCGGCCACACUGGGACUGAGACACGGCACAGGCUCCUACGGGAGGCAGAAGUAGGGAAUCUUCCGCAAUGGACGAAAGUCUGACGGAGCAGCGCCGCGUGAGUGAUGAAGGUUUUCGGAUCGUAAAACUCUGUUGUUAGGGAAGAACAAGUACGCGAGUAACUGCUCGUAUCUUGACGGUACCUAGACAGAAAGCCACGGCUAACUACGUG
rnacentral:rRNA from 1 species